rnacentral:rRNA from 1 species
AGAGUUUGAUCAUGGCUCAGAAUGAACGCUGGCGGCAUGCCUAACACAUGCAAGUCGUGCGAGAACCGAGAAGCUUGCUUUUCGGGGAGAGCGGCGCACGGGUGAGUAACGCGUGGAUAACGUACCUAAGGGUUAGGGAUAACCAGCUGAAAGGCGGGCUAAUACCUAAUACGAUCAUAAGAAGGAUGCUUCUUUUGAAGAAAGCGGGGCAACUCGCGCCCAUAGAUCGGUCCGCGUCCCAUCAGCUUGUUGGUAGGGUAACGGCUUACCAAGGCUACGACGGGUAACUGGUCUGAGAGGACGAUCAGUCACACUGGAACUGAGACACGGUCCAGACUCCUACGGGAGGCAGCAGUGGGGAAUAUUGGUCAAUGGGCGAAAGCCUGAACCAGCAAUGCCGCGUGGGUGAUGAAGGCCUUCGGGUUGUAAAGCUCUGUCGGGGGAGACGAAAAAAUCGUUUAACAAACGAUCUUGACGGUACCCCCAAAGGAAGCACCGGCUAACUCUGUGCCAGCAGCCGCGGUAAUACAGAGGGUGCAAGCGUUGUUCGGAAUUACUGGGCGUAAAGCGCGUGUAGGCGGCUUUGCAAGUCGGACGUGAAAUCCCUCGGCUCAACCGAGGAACUGCGUCCGAUACUGCAAAGCUAGAGUAUCGGAGGGGAUGGCGGAAUUCCUGGUGUAGAGGUGAAAUUCGUAGAUAUCAGGAGGAACACCUGUGGCGAAAGCGGCCAUCUGGAAGAUUACUGACGCUGAGACGCGAAAGCGUGGGGAGUAAACAGGAUUAGAUACCCUGGUAGUCCACGCCGUAAACGAUGAGUGCUAGGUGUUGCGGGUAUUGACCCCUGCAGUGCCAAAGCUAACGCGUUAAGCACUCCGCCUGAGGAGUACGGUCGCAAGAUUAAAACUCAAACGGAAUUGACGGGGGCCCGCACAAGCGGUGGAGCAUGUGGUUUAAUUCGACGCAACGCGAAGAACCUUACCUGGGUUUGAACUGCAGUGGACAGGUGUAGAGAUACACUCUUCCUUCGGGACCACUGUGGAGGUGCUGCAUGGCUGUCGUCAGCUCGUGUCGUGAGAUGUUGGGUUAAGUCCCGCAACGAGCGCAACCCUUGCCAGUAGUUACCAGCGGCUAGGCCGGGAACUCUACUGGGACUGCCGGUGUUAAACCGGAGGAAGGUGGGGAUGACGUCAAGUCCUCAUGGCCCUUAUGUCCAGGGCUACACACGUGCUACAAUGGUCGUUACAAUGGGUUGCCAAGCCGCGAGGUGGAGCUAAUCUCAAAAAAACGACCUCAGUUCAGAUUGCAGUCUGCAACUCGACUGCAUGAAGUCGGAAUCGCUAGUAAUCGCGGAUCAGAAUGCCGCGGUGAAUACGUUCACGGGCCUUGUACACACCGCCCGUCACACCAUGGGAGUCAGCUGCUCCAGAAGCACCUGUGCCAACCGUAAGGAGGCAGGGUACCAAGGAGUGGUUGGUAACUGGGGUGAAGUCGUAACAAGGUA